GCCGCUGUGACCGAGUGGUUAAGGUGAUAGACUUGAAAUCUAUUGGGGUUUCCCCGCGCAGGUUCGAAUCCUGUCGGCGGCG
rnacentral:tRNA from 1 species